CCCCUGUGCCACACUGUCCAUUUCUACCGAGAAGCUAGGGAUCCACUUUCUUAUAAAAGUUCAGAUAAAUUUGGAUUUGGACUCACACUCAACUCCACCAGAACAGUCCACCAAGUUUCUCAGAUCAGGAGGACUUUGAGUUUCUCAAGGUUUGAAGCCUUUCUUAUGCUUUAUAUGAGAUCUCUGCCUGCUGUAAAUAAGUCUGCUGUGGGAGAGUACAGAUGCCUGAUGAUCCAUACCAGGACGGUCAUCCCUCAGAAAGAAAUACCACCUGCACAUUCCUGCCUGCUAUGGGAAACUGGAACGCCUGUGAUUUACUUCUCAGCCAACCUUUCCUCCUCUUGUACUCCUGUACAAAAAUAUGGAAGCAGUAUGCUUUUGCACUCAGGUCGUGCUUGCAGUCUUCCCAUGGGCAUCUGGUUGGCCACUGAGAGAACAGGAUACUGGACUAGAUGGGAAGUGUGAAUUUCAAAGGAUGGCUAUGUUUCAGUUGAUGUGUGGUUCUGGAAAGUGCAAAUUAGGAUCAAGUAGAAGAUGAUGGAAAAGAUCUCCACUGGAGAUCACUGGAGAAGACUGUGGAGAACCAACUACCAAUCAGAGAAGACAAUAUUGGGUUAGACUGACAAAUAGUCUGACCUGGGAUAAGGAAGCUACCUGUGUAACUUUAGUCUUCAUAGGCCUUAAAUUGUUUUUGUAAAAAACAAAACGCCAAUA